rnacentral:rRNA from 1 species
GACGAACGCUGGCGGCGUGCCUAAUACAUGCAAGUAGAACGCUGAAGGAGGAGCUUGCUUCUCCGGAUGAGUUGCGAACGGGUGAGUAACGCGUAGGUAACCUGCCUGGUAGCGGGGGAUAACUAUUGGAAACGAUAGCUAAUACCGCAUAAGAGUAGAUGUCGCAUGACAUUUGCUUAAAAGGUGCAACUGCACCACUACCAGAUGGACCUGCGUUGUAUUAGCUAGUUGGUGAGGUAACGGCUCACCAAGGCAACGAUACAUAGCCGACCUGAGAGGGGGAUCGGCCACACUGGGACUGAGACACGGCCCAGACUCCUACGGGAGGCAGCAGUAGGGAAUCUUCGGCAAUGGACGGAAGUCUGACCGAGCAACGCCGCGUGAGUGAAGAAGGUUUUCGGAUCGUAAAGCUCUGUUGUAAGAGAAGAACGAGUGUGAGAGUGGAAAGUUCACACUGUGACGGUAUCUUACCAGAAAGGGACGGCUAACUACGUG